CGUCCCUAACCCGCGCUGAGACUGAACGUGCUUCCAGUGUUCCGACCGAAACCGCCACCGGAAGCUUUGCAAAUAAGUUGUUGGAGCUUCUUAAGAGGCACUUAUUCUGCAUCAGUAAAUGGAAAGUAAAUCCUCUACAGACUUAGUAGACCAAUUAGUGUGUCCUGGAGAUGUGGUUCUUGACCUAUCUAACAUGACAAACCAGACAAUUAAACUUGGAGGUGGGCUACGACAGGAUUGUGAUGUGAUUUCUGUAAUGAAGGCUGGCAAGCUAAGAUUUUCAAAGCCGAAUAAAUACUGGGUUGAAAAUUCUCAGAAAAGGUAUGUGCCCCAUGCAGAAGAUUCUGUUCUUGGAAUUGUGGUAGACUCCAGAUCAGAUAACUUUCUUGUGGACAUAAAAGGACCAGUUUUAGCAUUUUUACCAGUGCUUGCAUUUGAAGGAGGAACUAGAAGAAAUAUACCUAAGUUUGAGGUUGGGACUUUGCUUUAUGUGCGAGUUGUAAAAGCAAACCCUGGAAUGAAUCCUGAGCUGUCAUGCACUGACGCCAGUGGGAAAGCAGCAGAAUUUGGGGUAUUAAAAGAUGGCUAUAUGUUUGAGUGUACAACUGGUCUCUCAAGGAUGCUUCUCAGCUCACCCACAUGUCCAGUACUUGAUACUUUAGGGAAGAAACUGUCCUUUGAGAUAGCAGUUGGCUUAAAUGGACGUGUUUGGGUCAAUGCAUCAUCUCCAUCCACAACUAUUAUCGUAGCUAAUGCAAUUAUGAACUCAGAGGCAUUGAGUGGUGUUCAGCAGAGAAUAAUGGUUGAAAAGCUGCUGCAGAGGAUCCAGUGACCAAGUUAGUCAUACAUGUUUGAUUUUAACCAUUCUAGUUUUGAUUGGCUAUUCUUAUAGUCCCUUGUGUUGCAAUUGUCAUCUUAUGCCAUUUCCAAUCAUGAAGCGCAUACUUUUUAUGUGCUACCAAAUAUCAAUGCUUCUGAAGAGGAGCACUCUCUACUAGACCAGCUCCACUAGGUUAUAUCAUUCGUUGUCUCCACAAAAUAUCUGGUUGAAAAUCAACCCUUAGUUUUGUUAUUUAUAGUGUUCAUCUGUAGAAGUCUAAUACUUGCAAUAUUUGUCUAAUUUAAAAGCAAGUAUACUCUAUUACGAUAGGGGAUCUAUUCUUGCCUGCUUUUAUGAACUAUUUGUCAGAUUCAGUAUACAGGAAUUGUGAAGUGAUUGAGAGUUGACAUGAUCUUUAUGUUAGGGAGCAAGCAUAUUUGAUCACAUUUGAUAUUUUGUAUAGCAUAGUCAAAUUUUGAACGGAUCUAUGAGUAAAUUAUCCUAGGGAAAAGAUACUUAC